AAAUUGAUUAUGUGAUUGGCAAAUUUUAUGAGAAGGAACUGAGCAUGCUCAGCUCUGUGCUUUCUGACAUCUCUAUUUGCAUUCAGCCUAUCCACAGAGACCCGACUGUGUAGCUUUCGGAUAAAGUAUGUAACCUUAAUAGGAAAUGGAAGCCUUUUUCAUGGGAAGCUUGGGCCAGAGAGGAACUCCUCCCACCCAUCUGGCCUCACAGUUACACACCAGAUGCCUUACCUGAAACUACAAGUACAAGAACAGGCUGCUCCAAACAAAAGCACAAAAGCUUAGAGCCGGAGAGUUCUCUGAAGACAAAGGUUUUCAAGUCUUGUUGAAAUAGAGCCGCAUAAUGAGCAGGAGGGGCAGCUGCUAACCAGUGCCCCACCCCCGGCCCAGGGUAACCAAAUUCCUUACUGUUCUUGGGGACAGAAAUGCCAAUAACGCUAAGUUCAGCCAGGUAAACUAUGCUGAUUCUCAAACCAACAAUCUCUGGGUGGGGUUGGAAACUCAGACCUGGGAAGAGCAUCAGCAAGCCCUGGGGUUUAAGAGCACUCCUGACCUCCAGACCCACCUCUUUAGCCAGUCUAGGGCACUUAGGGCUCAGCUUAAGGCUCUUUAUCUUUCAUUCCACACUCCCAGGAUCCUCCUGGGACAAAUGGGAAAAGAAGAUAAAGUUUGAUGGCUACUAGAGUCAAUGGAAUUAAAAGCAAUGCUGCCCUUGGAACUGUUGGAAAUACCAAAGAACAACUGCAGAUCAAGAGUGGCAGUGAGUAUGGAGACAUACACUCACACUUACCAUAAUAGAAUAGAAACCAGAGGGUUUGUGUUCACUUAUCAGCUCCACUAUUUAUCAACUUUUGCUUAGUCACCAACUAGUAAAUAUCUGCUACAUAGUGAAAGCUCCAUAAUUGUUGGUUAAUGAAUGUUGAAAUCACUUAAGCUUUUUAGGCCUCUCUGGCUCCAUAUUAAAAAUAAGGAGAUUGGCAAGGUGCAGUGGCUCAUGCCUAUAAUCCCAGCACUUUGGAAGCCCGAGGU